GGAGAGGUGACUGAGCGGUUGAAAGUACCGGUCUUGAAAACCGGCGAGGGUUUACGCCCUCCGAGGGUUCGAAUCCCUCCCUCUCCG
rnacentral:tRNA from 1 species